rnacentral:miRNA from 1 species
AGGUGAAAUCUCUGCCACAGAUGUCCAGACACAAUUCUUGGUUUGUAUGUUUCCAUUCCACAAGAAUUGCGUUUGGACAAUCAGGAGCAGAGAUUC